UUGACCUCGGAUCAGGUAGAGCC
rnacentral:rRNA from 1 species